AUGGGUUACGAGUUUUUGUGAACUUGACCUGAAAGAUGUGGUACGAAAUUAUUCCCAGUUUUGGCCUUGUUUUUGGCUUUCUGUGUGCACCAUCGUUUAUUGGAUGGGGUAUGAACAAGCUUUUCCGUAAUGGCAAAAAUUGUGCAAAAAACUGGGAAGAAGAUCCUCGAGACUUUAUGCUCUAUUUACGAGAUCAAAGGAUAACAGGCAGUGAAUACAAGCCUAAAGGUUUAGAAUGCAUACCAGAUGAGCCCGAUAGCUAAGUCACCAUGGAGGUCAAGAUCUAACUGUUGUGCUGUGCAGAUAUUAUGAAGUGAUGCUGUGUAGAAAGUUAUGUACAUACAACUCAGAAGAGGACACUUCAUCUUGUACUCUCUGAAAAUUUCCCAGACAAUUCAUCACAUUUCUGUGUAAAAUGUCAGUAUAUGUGCGUUUUCCCAUGGCUUAUCAGCUCUGAGAAGAGUAGCAGUGAAUUUGAAAUGUAGAGUGCUGUUGUUUUUGUUGUAUCAAUAAUAAGCUGAAUCUAAUACGAUG